rnacentral:rRNA from 1 species
CCAUAAUUUAAUUAAUAAUUAAUAAUAUGGUAUAAUAAAAUCGGAGGCCACGACUGUUUACUAAAAACACAAUUCAGAGCAAUAAUUAAGAUAAUAGUAUUCUGGAUGAAAUUUGCUCAAUGCCAUUAAUAUAAAAGAGGUAAUUUUAAGUUACUAAUUGAAAGUCUGGUUAAUAGCGGUCUUAACUAUGAGGAUCCUAAGGUAGCAAAAUAAAUUGGCCAUUAAAUGUGGUCUUGUAUCAAUAAUGUAACGAUGGUCUCACUGUCUCUACAACUUGCUCAGUGAAAUUGAAUUGCGAGUGCAGAUGCUCGCUGUCUUCAGGGGGACGGGAAGACCCUAU